AUUGAACGCUGGCGGCAGGCCUAACACAUGCAAGUCGAGCGGAAGAAGGGAGCUUGCUCCUGGCUUCAGGGGCGGGCGGGAGAGUAGUGCCUAGAAAUAUGCCGGGGAGGGGGGGAUCACGUCCGGAAACGGGCGCUAAUACCGCAUGCGCCGUGAGGGAGAAAGGGGGGGAGCUUCGGAACGCUCGCUCUCGCGUGAGUCUAGGUCGGAUUAGCGAGUUGGUGGGGUAAAGGCCUACCAAGGCGACGAUCCGUAACUGGUCUGAGAGGAUGAUCAGUCACACUGGAACUGAGACACGGCCCAGACUCCUACGGGAGGCAGCAGUGGGGAAUAUUGGACAAUGGGCGCAAGCCUGAUCCAGCCAUGCCGCGUGUGUGAAGAAGGUCUUCGGAUUGUAAAGCACUUUAGGUUGGGAGGAAGGGCAGUAAGUUAAUACCUGGCUGUUUUGACGUUACCAGCAGAAUAAGCACCGGCUAACUACGUG
rnacentral:rRNA from 1 species